UCGGAUAUGGUGUAACGGCUAACAUGGCUGUCUUUCACUGAUUACGUCAUCAUGAUCACAGCAGCCCCGGGUUCGACUCCCGGUAUCCGAA
rfam:Paxillus involutus ATCC 200175 unplaced genomic scaffold PAXINscaffold_4, whole genome shotgun sequence.